UUCUUCUUCUCUUGAGUUUUUUAAAUCAUGUUUUAGUGGAAGCAAACAAGAUAAUAUUCUCUGAUGUGGUUCUCAAAUAUGCAAAGGAAAUAUUUAAGAUUAGGAAUUUGAUGGUUGAAUACUUAAGCACAGUCAGUGACUAAAAAGCUGACCCAGAAAAUGUGGAUAUCACCAAAUGAUGACAAGCUUACUUCCUGGAUGGUGAUGUCAUCCUGUUGACUCAGGAGAAAUGAAGAACUGGAUUAAAUGAAGAAUGUUCUUGGGCUGCUUUCUUCCAAUGAACUCCAAAUAAUAAUUAAAGUUACUGGUUACUGAACA